AUUAGUUUUCAUUUUAUUAAUCCUCAAAUAUUCUUAUUUAAACCUUACAGGGUUUCUACAGUUAGAAUGUUUUUGGCUACAAGCAACCCUUCCAUCUCCAACAUGGAUUCCGACUAAAACAAUACAUAACUUUAUUAUUUCACAUAAGAUUAAGUCUUCAGGUAAUGAUGAAUCUGUAAUCAGUUAAGUUACCAUCUAAACAAGAUGCCAGAGGCCGACAUUCUUUCUACCUUGACUCUCUGCUCCCUUUAGCCUGUUGGGUUUUAUCCUGAAGCUGUCAUCCCUUAUGAUCACAGGGGGCUCCUUGUUGUUCUGGUUGCCAUAUCAUAUCACAAAACAACAUGCAGAUGAAAAGACUCCUUUUCUUCAUUUAUGUCUUUUUAUUAUCAACAAAUGCUUUCCUAGAAGCCCCCAGAGACUUUUUCUUAUGUCCCAGGAGCAAGCAUCACCCAGCAUAACAAUUCAUAAACCAAAUGUCAGCAAGGGAGAUAGGAUUAGUGGUACUGGCUUCAGAAGUGAAAUGCAUAAUUUUACAUUAAUGGAAAGCUUUGCCUGUUCACAUCAGGACUCCUUUGGGAAUCUAGAGGACAAAGCAGAAAUAAAGACAUGUACAGAACUUUUAAUCACCCAGAAGCUAUGAUGCUGCCCCACAAAGCAGCACAACUCACUUGGCCCUUAUUCUGGCCCCACAGUGUUUUUACAUGCUUGUGUGAGUCUUUUGGGUCAGGUUUAAAUCCUGGCUCUUUCAAUUAUUGCUUCAUGAUAUGGGUAAUUAACUCAGUUUCCUUAUUCAGAAAUAGGGAUAAUAAUAGCACCACAUUCAUAGUGUUGUUUCGAAUAUUAAAGGAGUUAGUAUAAGAAAAGCAUUUAGAACGGUGCCUUGCUAUAUGAAAUAAUCAGUACAUUGUACACACACACAUUUACCCAUUGAUUCAUAUUUAUAUGAAUUGAACCGAAUGACAAGAGGAAUCAAGUAUUGUCAAGGUGGAGUCGUGGGACUUAAUUCUGGCCAAUGGAAAAUAGAUGGAAGUAAUGUAUAUCACUUCUAUGAGUGGCCUAUAGAAACUUCCUUUCAAGAUCAAUCCCUCUUCCCUUUCUGACUGGUUGAAUGGAGACAAGCUCUCAGCCCCUCUCCUCAGGGCAACCUAGACAAUCAUGUGGUGAAGAGAGCAGGCGUUCCAAAAGAUGCCUACUAGAGAGCACCCUCCCUCCCACACACAGAACACCAAAUUGAACUGUAAGGUGAGCAAGAAAUAAUUGUGUUGUUUUUAUUUUAUGUCAUUUCAUUGUGUUAAGUCACAAAGAUUUCAAGCCUCACCUGAUAUGGCAGCUAGCAAAUAUCUCAAUAAAUAUGCCCAUCUUUGUGAGCCUGGAGAAAUAGAUGACAUAUCUAACUAUGAUAGCAACUGUUUGUAUUUUUCUUUCCUACUAUAAUCUAUCUUUUGUAUACAUAUCUUUUUAGAAACUCCUGUGGUUACAAACUAGAGGCUGAUAGGCUAGGUUGGGGCACAGAUAUUUUUAUUUGGCCUGUACAAUAUUGUCUGGAUUCAUUGUCAACACACACACACCUUUUCAUGUCUGGCAUCUCUGAAAAAGGCAGAAUAUCCAUAACGCUGCUGAUGGCAACUAUUGGCUUGGCCAAAUAGAGGUCCCUGUCGAUAGAGCAUGGGAUCUCCAUUUGCCACUAUCCCCAACCCUCUUAACUGUAUCAUGGCCAGUCCACAUUCCCCUGUGUAUGUUGUCUGCCAGGUCUCUGGAGCCCUUAGGACUUGUUGUUAGCCCCUUUCUUUGUAAAGAGUGCUGGGCUUUCUGAGAGGUGUUCUUUGGUUAGUUUGUUUCUCUAAGCAUUUUCUCCCAAUGACAUUUCAAAUGCCCUUCCAAGUUGUACAGGGCAAGAUGGGGUUUUCCUCCUUCUGUGCAUCUGCAGUACUAACGGAUGCAGAAUCAGCACUUCAUGUGGAAUCUGAAAGCUGUCAAGCUUCUCCCCUGACUUUCCACUUAGGUGGUGGGAGGGCUUUAUCAACUAUCCAAAAUAACCAAAAUGGACCUGCUGCAUUCCUGCUGCAUUUCUUUCCAAUACAUUUGAAACCUUUGUUCAGAUAUUGGACAUGCAAGACAACAAGCGUCAAGACAAUGGAGCCACCAAGAAUUGUGACCCUUUAUCUAGCCCUGGGUGUGGAACUAUUAAUUACUGCAGACUAUGCCCCACUUCCCUGAUGCUGAGAACAACAUAAUGAAGCCCUGUGGAGACACUGAGAGAAAGAAUACCUAUCAUUAACUCUUCACACAGACAGAUAAGGCUGGGAAAGUGCAAACUUGGAUAAAACUCUUCUUUAUGGAUAUCCAGGGAGAUGAAGAGUGUUUCUUUAAAAUAAAGCUUGUCUUAAAGAGAAUCACUUUCAAGGAUUAAAGGUAGUAGUAUAUGAGUAACAUGCUUUUAAGCAACAACUCAAGGGGACAAAAUGAUAUCCUUUAUGGCCAGAGCACUCUGAAAAAAUGGUUUACAUUCUUCAAAUAUUAUCAUUUUUGUUUAAUUUUUAGAGAAUUGCAAUAAGAUGGUCCCAUUUCCUUAUAGCUCUCUUUUGGUGACCUCAUCCAAAUUUAAGUUUCUAAAUCUGAAUGUAAAUGAAUGGAUCAGACCUGUAUAAGUCAGGGCCAGUGAGAGAAAUGGGCACUUUGUAAUAGAAGUAAUUUCAAAUUCCAGUAAAGCUCUGCUUGAUUUCCCCCUUUUCCAUCUAGCAUGCUAAUCUCCAUCUGGCUGCAGUAGCAGCAUCUGCCUUUAAAAUGACCCUUUUCCUUCUCAGGAAGGAGAGCGAAUUGUGCUCUCCAUGUUUCAGGACUGCACCUCUUCUGGGUCACCCUCCUGAUUAAUGUGCUUUUCUAUGAGUAAUAUCAUAAUUCACAGUUUUUUCCCCUUUUUCUUUGAGACUAACUGGGUAAUUCAAGUUUCAUUUUCUCUCUCUGGGUAUUUAAAGGCCAGCCCUUCAGACCAAUUUUAGCCAUCUAUUGCUGGUGAGCCAAUUUCUUGAGAGGCCUAUUUGCAGAGCUGGUUCUGUAAGCUUGAGCCUGCUCCACCAGCCAGGCCCUUACAUUGCAUGUGGAAUUUAUUCAGACAAAGUCAUUUUUUGAGCAUAAAAUGAAUGUUAUGGAGUCAGUAUCACUGACUUUGUAGGCUAUUUCCAGUACCAUUUAGGCACUGAUUGGGCCUUUUACAUGGUCUCUAAUAUUACAGAUUUGGUAAAUAUCAAGUAUUAACCAAACUAUUUCUGACACAUUCCAACUCAUGACUUCCUUCCUUUUCAAUUGUGUGCAGAAAUAGAACAGAAUAUGACAAUAGGAAGAUGUUACAUGGUUCUAUGAUAGGUGACAGGAUUAGGGAGAGGAAGCAACUCUCACAAUAUAUCUUAGGCCAUUUUGGUAAUAAGCAAACGUGGAAUUUGGAUCCAAGCUAAUGUAAAUAUAUUCAUAUUGGUGCACGUAUGUUCCUAUUUUCAUGUAUGUUCUAUGGAAUCUGUCUCAUAAUUUUGUGAUCACAGCUCAUAUACAUGACUAGGACAUGAAAUCUUGUGCAUCUAAUUGACAACAGGUGUCAUCCUGUAUAUGGCAAAUGAAUCUGAUAUUCCAUGUAGUGUUUGGUAUGUAUGGUCAUCUACAAAAUCCUAUUUGUGAAAUAUAAAAUUUGGAUUUUGUAUGUGCUUUGUUCUGAAUCUGGAAACAGAUGGUAUUUCUUAGUGUUUGUCUUUCCUGAUAUGUAGCCCUGAUUAUUUGUAAAAUUGAGGUAUUUAAAAAUGAUUGCUGGAAGCUUUACAAUCUUUGAGAGGAAGGAUAGGAAAUGUCUAAGGAAGUAAGAGGCUUUGGAGUUAUAUGAUAAUCAGAAUAAAACCCACAAUUUUCUGGCUUCUGUAAAUAAUAGGAAUAUCACUGGUCAUGGAGGUAGGUAUAGAGUUGAAACAGUGAUGGCAAGAGCUUUUUCUCCUCUUCUUUGGAACACAUACAUAUUUGGUAACUAUAUUUUUAUUCAUUUUGAGAGAGAGAGGGCAGAAAGGUAGGGAGAGAAUCCCAGGCAGGCUCCCUGCUGUCAGUGUGAAGCCUAACGCAGUACCUGAUUCCACAAACCAUGAGAUCAUGACCUGAGCCGAAAUCAAGAGUCAGAUGCUCAAUUGGCUGAGCCACACUGUCAGUUGUGGGGUACCCCCACAACUAUAUUUUUUAAAUCAAUAAUGGGGUCAUGUAAUAUGGUGAUUUGAACAUUCUUCAAGGCUCUAUCUUUGAUAUGAAAAUUUUAUGUGUAAUGGUACAGAAAUUUAAAUUCAGCUCUCAGAAAAACACAUGUUCUUAUUUUGAAUUUCCCUUAAUCCUCUAGGAGAAUAUUGAUCUUAUUAGCUAAUGAGAGAGCUCUGGUGGGCACCUCUCUGUGUGUUGGUCUUCUAGACUCAGUCCCUUUAUUUUCAUUGUUUUCCUUAGAAUGGUAAGAAUUUCAGGACUGGUAGGGGAAGAGUGUUAUAUUAGGGAUGAAACCAAAUUAGAGAAAGCAGAUCCCAAGAACUCAUAAGAGAGAUAAAAAUCAGUCAUUAGGUAACAAUUUUCAGCUAUUCAUCAUCAGUUUGCCAAUAUAUGGUACUGAUGGACAAGCAUCUUUCAGCUGAAGUUAACUAAUACUUUUUAACAACAGUAAUAGCAAAUAUCACUUAUUAAAUGCUCAGUAUAUUCCAGACAUGCUAAACACCCUAUCUUAUUUAGCCCUUACAACAUACAUAUGAGGCAGGUACCAUUAUCUUUUUACAAAAGAUGAAAGGAAACAGCUUUAGGGAGAUUAUUCUAUUUCAUUGAUUCUGAGGCAAACGUUAUUUUACAUUUUAUUUUCUUAGACAUCAUGCUGCAUCUUCAAAUUGAUGGAAUCUUAUGACAGUUUUCAUUGUCUGGUCAUAAACAUCAACAGUGCCAGGUUGAAAACUUGCAGAAUGGGUGCCAAGUUUAGGGAAGAAAAUCCCAGACAGGAUAGUGGGAUUUUUAACUCCCAUGAAGCAAAUAGUUGUGGAGGUGGUGAGAAAGGAGGCAUAUCAGACAGAUUUAGCAUCAUUCCCAACACUUUUAAGUUAACUUUUAAAUUAAAAGUAAGCUAGCUCUGCAGAACUAGAAACCAUGUGUCUUUUGUUCUCUGUGAAUUUUCUUACAAAUGCAGCACUGUUCAUGCUGUCAAUAGACUGAGGAUCACUGUAUGAUAUGAUGUAGAAAACCACGGACAUUCAUGACUCUAACAUGUUUCAGAAGAGUCAGAUUCUACAUGUCAACAAGUUUUAGAAAUACCUUAACCAAUUUCUUUAUACAACAUAGACAUAGAAGUGAUCCAUGACAAAAAUCCAUGGCUAAUAAAAUUUAAAGUAGCUCUUUCAUUAAUUCUAACAUAAAAUGUUUCAGAGAUAAAAAGCAUCAUGUCAUAGUCUACAAUCACUAGUAUCUUUAUUCAAUAAAAUAGAGAUAAAUGUUUGUCUGGAUUUAGAGGCCAAGGUCAGAAUGUCAGGCUACAAGGUAUUCACUAAUGUUUUGUUAAAAAUUUCUUUCUUGAGGACAAGCAUGGCAAGACCACUAAUCUCUUUUUGGUGAAGACAUCCUGAGACCAAGAAGUACUAAUUAUACUUAUUACUAUUAUGUUAUUUUCUAAGACAGGGUGAGAGAGAAUCUUAAGCAGGCUCCAUGCCCAGCGUGGAGCCCAACAUAGGGCUCCACCCCAUGAACCGUGAGAUCAUGACCUGUGUCGAAAUCAGGAAUCAGAUGCUUAACCAAAUGAGCCACCCAGGCACAGAUACUAAUUAUUAUAAUGCCAUGUUAAACUUAUACUGCACCUUAAAGUUUGCACAGCUCUUUCACUAAUUUUGCUUCUUGACUUCUUAAAACAAUGUGAUGAGGUAGAAAUUGUUAUCCCCUCAUUUCCUGUAAAAACAGAGUGUCACAUGGAUUAUCACCACAUACAUUUGCUGACUUAUGGUGGAUUCCCUGGGAAAGAACUCUGAGUGGAAAUGUUUCUGUAAGAAAUUUGUUGAAGAGUGCUCCCAGGAAGGUCCACUAGGGAUGGGUGGGAACAGAAUUGGGCACAGUGGCAGCUGAGCUGCAAUAGAGACCUUAGGUGACCCCAUGGAGAGCUUUGGAAUCGGGAUGGCCAUUCAGACUUCACAUAAGGCAAGGGGGCAAGGCCUAUGUCCCCUACAUCAACCAGCCAUUGGAUGUGGACUGCUCUGAAAGAGGGGAUGUAAUCUUGGGUAAGGCCACUUGCUACCUUGAAUUGAUAACAAUUACUGAACUCAGCUGUAAGCCAUCAGCUGUCAAUACUUUUAAUAGCUGGCAACAUGAACACUGGUUCUGAAGAUAGAGUCUGGGUGGCAUACUACAGCAUCCGCUAAAGCCUCCUUCUUAUGUUUCUCAUAUCCACUUGUUUUGUAUAUAAGGUCACUCCAUCUGAGAACUGCUCCUCUAUGAUUCUGGUACAUCAGUUUCUCUGAGAAAACUUAGAAGGAGUGGGUACUCAGAAAAACUUAAUCUCCUGCUGCUACAGCUAGAUUCAGGCUGUACUGAUACUCUCCACCUCCACCUCUCUCACUUAUUCCUCUUUCCUUUGUUUGGCUACGACCUCACCUCUCCUAGGUGACAUACCCAGUAGGGUGACACAGACCUUUAUCCCUGAGAGGUAUGAGCCUCUGACCAUACCUGUCUCAUGACAUGGUUGCUGUAACAGUCUAUUUACUGUUAAUGCUGGGCAAGGAGGAUUUGGACAUACAUCAGUGGAUUACCUGGGUGUCAGAUAUCUGUCCCUACUGUGUGGCAGCAGUUCUAUCUCCUAAUGACAAUCACGGUCUAUCACCCCUAUCUAUCUCUCACUCACUCUUUCCUUGCUUGCUGGUCUCUUGACUCGAGGACCACAAAGUGGAUGGCAUAUAUCUCUGUGAAUCACAAUGAUGCGGGGGGGGGGGGGGGGCUGUAGUACUGAGGGAUAGGGAAUAGAUUCCUCUGUUCUUGGGCACAGAAAAACAGCCAUGGUUUAAAAGAGCAAUUAACUUAUAAAAGAGCCAGCACCAUAACUCUGCCAAAUGUUGGAGGAACUGUAGGAACACUCUCUGGGUCAGAAGGACUGGAGAAGAACAGGGUUUAUAUUCCUCCUCCACCCUAAAAGCACAUGGGGCGGUGGUCCAGAUGCCAUAAAGAGCUUGCUGCCUAAGUGAGCUCUGUCUGGGUCUAUAAACCCACACCAGCCCGGUUACUCUGUGGCACAGAAAAAAACCACUUUUUUUUUUUUGCUUUCUUUUUUUUCCUUUAAAAGGUCUUGGUUUAAAAGAACAACUAACAUAUAAAAGAACCCAACUGCCGAAGAGGUGGAAGAGCUCCUGGAAAGCUUUCUGGGUAGAAGGGGCUGACUGACAUGGUCUGUGGUCCCCACCUUCCCUCACAUUGGAAGUAGAGACUAAUGUACAGGCUGGGUAUCUGAACUGGACGGCUGCCUCAGUGAGCCCUAGACCCCUAACCCAUAACAGUCUCAACCAUCUUAUCCAGGUGUCCACAGGGUGGUACACACCAGGACACCCUUAAUUAGUGUUCACUACAGCCCCAGCCUUUGUGCAAAGGUGACACAGGUGUAAAGCAUAGUGGAACGCUCCAGGCCCACAUCUCUUUGACUUCCGAUGGCUUGCUAAGGCACCCAUUAUGCACAGCACUCUGGAACCUCCCACCUGACAUGUUUUGGGUCCAGUAUUCCUGCUUUGACAUGCCCUGUGUGGCCACCACAGCAGGCACUCCCUGCACUGAGCACCGUAGGAUACCAUGGCUUGCGCCCAGUACAGCUUGACCUGUCCCUCCAUGUCACCCUCAGAGGAGAGAUACCAAGAACAACCUCGCUAGCAACUAUUUGAGCUCUCUUGCCAGGGCACAUUUUGUAUUGAGAGCCCACAGUUCAUACCAGACUGUACCCAUGUUAAUUUUAGUUGCACAGAGUGCAGAGUGCCCCAGGACCUUCUGACUUGUGCCCAUGUUGGCUCCAGUCACCCUUUAAGGGCACCCUCUGUGUGGAGAGCCAUAUAUACCCCUAGUUUAUACCCACUUCAGCUAUACCCACCCUCUGCAGACCACUGGGUCCCCCCAGGUAGCACCCAGUUUAGGUUCAACUAUACUGCCAGGGAACCCUCAACACAGAAUGUUCAGGAACCUCCCAGCCCACACACUGCCUCAGCAUCAGCUACCCUGUCAAGACACCUCCUCCACAGAGUACCCUAGGACACCCCAGUUUGCACUUAUUUUGGCUUCAUCUGUCCUGCUAAGAUGCCCUCAAUACAUAGAACCUUGGGACACCAUAGCCUGCAUUGAAUUAAGCUUUAGCUGUCCUGACAUGGUGCCCAUUACCUGUAAGUCCUCAAGACCUGCAGCCCACACCAGCCACAACUCCAGCCAGCAAGGAAAAGUCACUAAACAUACACAGUCUACAUGGGGAAUGGUCAAACACAAGACCAUUCCUUUAAAUUUAGGAGAAUUAGGGGGAGGGGAAGAAAAAAAAAAGAGGUUAGAGUGGGAGAGAGCCAAAGUAUAAGAGACUCUUAAAAACUGAGAACAAACUGAGGGUUGAUGGGGGGUGGGAGGGAGGGGAGGUAGGUGAUGGGCAUUGAAGAGGGCAUCUUUUGGGAUGAGCACUGGGUGUUGUAUGGAAGCCAAUUUGACAAUAAAUUUCAUAUUAAAAAAAUAAAUUUAGGAGAAUUAUUUUGUUGCCUAAUCCAUAGAAAAAAACACAAAGAGACAAAAUGCAACAGAGAUAUAUAUUCCAAAACCAGGAAUAAGAAAAAAAACUUCCAAAAAAUGACUAAAUGAAAUGGUGAUAAGCAAUAUGCUUUAUAAAAAUUUAAAGUAAUGAUCAUAAAGACACUUAAUGGGCUGAAAAGAAGAGUAGAAGAACUCAGUGAGACCUUCAAUAAAGAGGAUUAAAUACUAAAAAGAUCAAAUCAGAGUUGAAGAAUACAAUACUGAAAUGAAAAACCUACUAGAGGAAACCAAUAGUAGAUUAGAGGAUGCAGAAUGUAUCAGCAAUCUGGAAGACAACGUAAAGGAAAGCACACAAGCUGAGGAGCAAAAAGAAAAGAAUUUUUAAAAAUGAAGAUAGGGGCACCUGGGUGGCUCAGUCAGGUGAGCAUCUGACUCCGGCUCAGGUCAUGAUCUCAUGGUUUGUGAGUUCAAGCCCCAAGUUCAAGCUGUGCUGACAGCUCAGAGCCUGGAGAUGCUUCAGAUUCUGUGUCUCCCUCUCUCUCUCUCUCUCUGCCCCUCCCCUGCUCACACACACAGCCUCUCUCUCACUCAAAAUAAACAUAAAAAAAUGUAGAUCUCUCGAACAACAUCAAACAUUGUAUGGGUCUCAGAGGAAGAGUGAAAGGGGUAAUAAAAUUAUUUGAAGAAAUAAUAGCUGAAAACUUCCCUAGAGAAGGAAAUAGAUGUCCAGUUCCAAAAAGCACAAAGAGUUCCAAACAAUAUGAACCUGAGGAGGUCCACACCAUGACACAUCAUGUCAAAGGUUAAAGAGAGAAUAUUACCAGCAGCAAUAGAGAAGCAAAAAGUUACCUACAAGACAAAACCUAGAAGGUAAUUAGCUGAAUUUUUAGCAGAAGCUUUGAAAGCUGGAAUGCAGUGGCAUGAUAUACUCAAAGUGCUGAAAGAAAAAAUCCACAAUCAAGAAUACCAAGCAAGGUUAUCAUUCAGAUUUGAAGGAGAGAGAGUUGCUCAGUUAAACAAAAGUUAAAGGAGACAAUCACCACUAAACCAGUCUUAAAAGAAAUGUUAAAUUCACUUCUAUAAGUGGAAAAGAAAUGACCAUAAAUAAAUGUAAGAAAAUGAUGAAUAAAAAUAUAAAGUAUGACAGCAUAUACAUAAAAUGUGGAGGAGAUAGUUUAAAAAAGGAAGUUUUUUUUAAAUGUAUUUUAACUUAAAUGAUCAGUGACCAUCAACUUAAUAAAGACUGCUGUUUACUUAGGAUGUUAUCUAUAAAUCUCAUGGUAUCCAAAAUGCAAAAUGUAUAAUUGAUACAAAAAAAUAAAGAGAACAAAAGCCAAACAUAACACUACAGAAAUUCAUCCAAAUCAAAGAAGAGUAAAGGAACAGAGAGGAACUACAAAAACCACCAGAAAAAAAUGCAAAUAAGUACAUAUCUAUCAAUGAUUACUUUAAAUGUAAGUGGUCUAAAUGCUCCAAUCAACAACAUGGGUUGGUGGAAUGAAUAAAAAUAUAAGGCCCAUUUAUAUCCUGCCUACAGGAGACUCACUUCAGACCUAAAGACACAUACAGACUAAAAGUGAAAGUAUGGAAAAUAUUUCCCAUGAAAAUGGAAGCAAAAAUAAAUUUGGGGUAGCAAUACUUAGAUAAAAAAUAGACUUUAAAACAAAGAUUGUAACAAGGGACAAAAAAGGGUAUUUCAUAAUGAUAAAGGAAAUCAAUUCAACAGGAGGAUAUAACAAUUUUAAAUGUCUACGCACCCAACACUGGCACCUUUUAAAUACAUAAAGCAAAUAUUAAUGGAGAUGAACAGAGAAACUGUUGACAGUACAGUAAGAGAGGGGACUAUAAUACCCUGCUGACAUCAAUGGAUAGAUGAUUUCUAUCAUUCAGGUAGAAAGUCAACAAGGAAACAGUGUCAAAAUGACACAUAAGACUAAUUGGACAUACCAUAUAUAUUCAGAACAUUCCAUCCAAACACAACAGAACCUCAUUCUUUUCAAGUGCAUAUGGGACAUUCUCCAGAGCAGAUCACAUGUUAAGCCACAAAACAAGCCUCUAGAAAUUUAAGAUUAAAAUAAUACAUCUUUUCUGACCAUAAUGAUAUGAAAUUAGAAAUCAAUCACAAGAAAAACUAGAUGGCACCAGAGUGCAUUAUGCUAAGUGAAAUAAGUCAGAAAAAAAGACAAAUAUCAUAUGAUUUCACUAACAUAGGGGAAGAAAAGGAAAAAUAAGAUAAAAACAGAGAGGGAAGCAAAUAAGAAGAGACUCUUGAAUAUAGAGAACGAACAAGGUUGCUGGAGGGGAAUUAGUGGGGGGAUGGGCUAAAUGGGUGAUGGGCAUUAAAGAGGGCACUUGUUGAUCACUGGGUGUUAUAUGUAAGUGAUAGUGACUCAUCACUAAACUCUACUCCUGAAACCAAUACUACACUAUAUGUUAACUAACUUGAAUUUAACUAACCUUAAGUUAAAUAUGUUAAUUAAUUUAACUAGCUUGAAUAUUAUAUGCUAACUUGAAUUAAAUUAUUUAGAUGGUAAAAGGAAAAAAAAAAGGAAAAAAUGCAAACACAUGAAGGGUAAACAUGAUAUUAAACUACAAAUGGACCAAUGCAGGGGCACCGAGGUGGCUCAGUCAGUUAAGCGUCUGACUUCAGCUCAGGUCAUGAUCAGGUCCAUGAGUUCAAGCCCCGCAUUGGGCUCUGUGCUGCCAGCUUAGAGCCUGGAACCUAUUUCAGAUUCUGUGUCUCCCUCUCUCUCUCUGCCCCUCCCCCGCUCAUGCUCUGGCUCUCUGUCUCUGAGAAAUGAGUAAACCUUAAAAAACUAAAUUGUAAAAAAACAACAAAUGGAGCAAUGAAGCAAUCAAGAAGAAAUAAAAACAAACAAACAAAACCCCAAAACCAAAAAAACCAAAUGGAAACAAAUGGAAAUGAAAACACAGUGGUCCAAAAUCUUUGGGACUCAGUAAAAACAAUUCUAAGAGAGAAACAUACGGUUAUACAGGCCUACCUUAAGAAACAAGGAAAAGCCUAAAUAAACCAUCUAAGUUUAUACCUAAAGGAACUAAAAAAAGAUGAAAACCCAAGGCAAGAAGAAGGAAGAAAAUAAUAAAGAUCAGAGAAGAAAUAAAUUAAUUGGAGACUAAAAAAGCAAUAGAUCAAUGAAACCAAGAGCUGGUUCUUUGAAAAGAUAAAUAAAAUAGAUAAACCCUUAGCAAGACUCACCAAGAAAAAAAGAGAAAGGACCCAAAUAAAAUCAGUAAUGAGAGAGGAGAAGUAACAACUGACACCACAAAAAUACAAAGGAUCAUAGGAGAAUACUAGGAAAAAUGACACGCCAACAAAUUAGCCAACCUGGAAGAAAUGGACACAUUCCUAGAACCAUACCAUCUUCUAAAAUGAAUGAGGAAGAAAUAGAAACUUGAAUAGAUUGAUUAUUAGUAAUGGUAUUGAGUCAGUUAUCCAAAAAAUACCCCCCAAAAAGUUCAGGAUCAGACGGAUUCACAAGUUAAUUGUAGCAAACUUUUAAAGAAGAGUUAAUAUUUAUUCUUCUCAAAGUAUUCCAAAAAAAUAAGAGUAAGGAAAUCCCCAAAAUACAUUUUACAAGACCAUCACUACUCUGAUACCAAAGACACUGCACCCCUAUGCUUACUGCAGUAUUAUUUACAAUAGCCAAGAUAUGGAAGCAACCUCAGUGUCCACUGAUAGACUAGAUAAGGAAAAUGUGGUAUACAUAUACAAUGGAAUAUUACACAGCCAUAGAAAAAGAUGAGAUUGUGCCAUUAGGAACAACUGUAUGGACGUAGAGGGUAUUCUAAUUGAAAUAAGUCAGACUGAGAAAGACAAAUACUCUAUGACUCCAGUCAUAUUUGGAUCUAAAAAAAGCAGAAUCAGGGGCACCUGGGUAGCUCAGUCGGUUAAGCGUCCGACUUCGCUCAGGUCAUGAUCUCAGAGUCCGUGAGUUCAAGCCCUGAGUUGGGCUCUGUGCUGACAGCUCAGAGUCUGGAGCCUGUUUCGGAUUCUGUGUCUCCCUCUCUCUCUGCCCCUCCCCCGUUUAUGCUCUGUCUCUCUCUGUCUC